ncrna:unclassified sequences Glutamine riboswitch
AUCGUUCAAUCUGUGUGUAAACAGAUCGGAAGUAGGCUAAUAGUCGAAGGAACGCGGA